rnacentral:misc_RNA from 1 species
UGAGGAUGUGAUGUUCCAAUUGAUCUGUGAUCCCUCCGGAAUGGUGGUCAAAACUGCACUUGAGGAGCUACUUCCUGCAGUAAUAAAAUGGGGGAAUAAGUUGGAUCAUAUUUCAAGAGUUCUACUUUCCCAUAUACAGAGCUCUGCUCAGUGCUGUCCACCUCUUUCGGGGGUUGAAGGCUCUGUGGAGUCCCAUUUACGUGUCUUGGGGGAACGAGAGCGCUGGAGUAUUGAUGUGUUUUUGAGAAUGCUGUUGGAGUUGCUUCCAUUUGUGUACCAGAAGGCAGUUGAGACUUGCCCUUUUUCUUCAGUAACAGAGUCAACAAAUGCGUUGUUCUCUACUUCAUCACUUGAAUUGUAUUCAAAGGGACAUGAUGAAUGGGCAGCAUUUCAGUGGAUGCACGUUGAUUGCUUUCCUGAUCUGAUACAGUUGGCCUGCAUGUUACCCCCAAAAGAAGACCAUUUAAGAAACAAAAGCACAAAGUUUUUGUUGGCUGUAAGUGAGCACUUUGGGGAUUCUUAUCUGGUGCACAUAAUGAUGCCUGUGUUCUUGAUAGCAGUUGGGGACAAUGCAGAUCUAACAUAUUUUCCAACUACCAUUCAUUCAAGAAUCAAAGGUUUGAGGCCA